rnacentral:rRNA from 1 species
GUAGGUGGCAAGCGUUGUCCGGAAUUAUUGGGCGUAAAGCGCGCGCAGGCGGUUCUUUAAGUCUGAUGUGAAAGCCCACGGCUCAACCGUGGAGGGUCAUUGGAAACUGGAGAACUUGAGUACAGAAGAGGAAAGCGGAAUUCCACGUGUAGCGGUGAAAUGCGUAGAGAUGUGGAGGAACACCAGUGGCGAAGGCGGCUUUCUGGUCUGUAACUGACGCUGAGGCGCGAAAGCGUGGGGAGCAAACAGGAUUAGAUACCCUGGUAGUCCACGCCGUAAACGAUGAGUGCUAAGUGUUAGGGGGUUUCCGCCCCCCUUAGUGCUGCAGCUAACGCAUUAAGCACUCCGCCUGGGAGUACGGCCGCAGGGCUG